rnacentral:misc_RNA from 1 species
GAUGAAGAACGCAGCUAAAUGCGAUAAGUAAUGCGAAUUGCAGAAUUUCCGUGAGUCAUCGAAUCUUUGAACGCACAUUGCGCCCACUGGUAUUCCGGUGGGCAUGCCUGUUCGAGCGUCAUUAUCCUCCCUCAAACCCCGGGUUUGGUGUUGGACCCAAGUUGUGUGAACAACUGGUCUCAAAGACAAUGACGGCGUCCGUGGGACCCUCGGUGCAACGAGCUUUUAGGAGCACGCAUCGAGUUGCAAGGACCUUCCGGGCCGGUCUCCUUUACCAUUUUACAAGGUUGACCUCGGAUCAGGUAGGAAUACCCGCUGAACUUAAGCAUAUCAAUAAGCGGAGGA